CAGGCCCCGGGCUGCGCUCGCGGGCUUACGUGGGGGCGCGGCCGAGUCGCGGGGCUGGGAGGAGCGGGCGGCCGGGGAGAGGCGCGCCCACGCGGAGCACUCCGGGCAGGCGGGCAGGGGACCUCCCGGGAAGGCAGAGGUAGAAGUAGGGCCAGCUCGGGUCCUCUGCCGCCAGCACCCGGCUUCAAGCCACAGGGGACCCGCACCUGCUCAAGCGCGGCAGUUUUCCGCUGUUGGACACCUCCUGCGGGCUGCGGUUGGAGAUCCUGGAGAGUGGGUCAACGGUGACCUCCGCCCUUUCCCCGGGUGCUAAGUGGCCUCUUGCCGCCGCUGGGAACUUUAGUUUUUCUGCACCGAGGUGGUUGGGGGAAUCUUCUGGGCAGACCCGGGCUGAGGGAGACAGGGGUGUCUGCCUCAGUGGGGACUGUGGAGGGGAAGGUGUCACCAUCAGCCCUGUUGGCCCUGAGUCUUUGGCCAAGUUGCCUCACCUCUGUGUGCUCCAGUUUCUCCAUCUCGGCAAUGGGAGUAACACCAGUGCACACCUGUCCCCCGGUUGUAGGGAUGAAAUGCUGUCAUGAGAGUAAAGAAGGCUUAGAAUAGCGCUGGCAACACAUAGCACAUGCCGCUCAACGUGGACCGGUGGUGGUUUUUAAAAACCAGAAAGCAGAGUCAAGUCUUCAUUUCCUGUAAAGAAAGUUUCCACCACUUACUAACCCAUCCCCCCUCCGCCCUAAGAGGUCUGGGGGAUAGAAAAUAGAGUUACAAAAUCCAGGAUCAUGAACUCCCGGUGCACCCCCUCUCUGCGUUAAUAACUUCUUCUUCCCGCCCAGCUGGGCCCCUGGUGGCAGUGUCCAAGCCAGAAGGGCCCUCAGAGGCCAUCGUGCCCAUUUCUGAGAAGGGAAGGCAGAGCCUCCGAAAAGGGAAAGGCUUGCCUGAAGUCAGGCAGUGAGUUAGAGCAGAGCUGGGAUAGGAUCCUACCUGGUCUGACCCCCGGAACCGGGCUUGUCCAGCCUGCCCUGGGACGCAGUCAGGAGGGCCUGGGGUUGGGGCAUGGAGGUUUCUCAGGCCCCACCACAUUACUGUGAUGGCGGCAUUUUCACCCCACAUUAAGGAUGAGUAAACUGAGGUUUGAACCAGAGGGAAGGAGUGACUUGCCCUGUAUCACAAAGUGCCAGACCUCGACCCUGGGCCCAAAUGACCUUACACAGCAUUCUUCCCAUGUGGAUGCAAGUCCUUCCACCAGCAUGGCGCUUGCCGUGGCCCAGCUGACCUUGACACUCAGGGCUGGCCGUUCUUGUGUGGAGGGUCCUUGUGGUUUUUCAAAUCUUCUUUUCUGAGGUUCCAGAGAGGCCUCUGGUUCUGUUGGGGGGGGGCGUUUCAGGAGGCUCCUCUAUACAUUCACAGAGACAGAAGAAAAAGGGAAUGUUUGGGGUUUUCCUUUUUUUCGGCAAAUCAGUACAGCCAAAGGACACCAGCCCUCUAGAGUUGGCUGUGGUCGAGGUUGAACGUGCCUUGCCAUAUUUCUAAACUUGUCUUCCUGCCUUCCCCAAAUGGCUAACUGUAAAAUGGCCUGGGGAUCCCCCAGCCAAGCCCAGGGAGCAGUGGGAGGCCGCCAGCUUCUCUCCAGCCUGGAAGGUGGGGUCUGGGUGUGUAUACGGGGAGUUGGGGGGAGCUGAUCGGGGUCAGAGCCCCGUCCUGCCUCAGCUCGGGAGGGGAAGAGCGUGUCCUAGAGUCUCCCGAACCGCAGGGCACGCCCUGGAGACUGGCUCAUUGUGCCCACUGAGAGAGGUGACCGCUUCGGCUGAGAGUCAGAGCAGCCCCAGGUCCUGGGCAGGCUCCGGGGCAUCCCCCUGGCAGGGCUGUGCUGAUAAGCUUCCAGCAAACUCUGGUUGUGCACGAGGGCAGGCUUGGAGCGUCUGCCGUGAAGUCCUUGUGUCCCAGGCAGGCUGUGGGCAUGUGAGGGUGGGCUCAGGGGAAACUGCUCUUCCUGUUCUACAGACGAGGACCGCAAGACACAGGGAAGUGGUGCAGUUGUUCAGGGUCUUGUACCUUGGAGGUAGAAGAACUGGGAUUCAUUCCACAAGUCCUUGUUGAGCACCUACUGUGUGCCAAGUGUUGCCCUAGGAGCUGAGUACUCGUGGGACUGACAGUCUAGAGGGGUGGCGGACACUAACUGAAGUGUGAAGCGUGCUGGAACGCAAGGGCCUGGUGAAAGUAAAGCAGGGCAGCAGAAGGGCGUGCCGGGAAAGGGCUGCUGUUUCCCAUCAGGUGUCCGGGAGGCCGCUCUGGGAAGGUGCCAGUUAAAGAAAGACCUAAAGGAGGCAAGGAAGGAAGAGCUCCAGCGGGAAGAGCGUUCCAAGAGGAAGAAGCAGCAGGAGCAAAGGGCCUGCGCUGCCUGGUGUGUAUCCAGAGCAAGAGAGUGGAGUAAUGGAGAAGGGAGAUCGGAGGAAUAGCAGCAGAUAAGGUCAAGAGGUCAUGGGGGGCCAGUGGUACAGGGGCCACGAAAGCCAUAAUGAGGACUUGGCUUUGACUCCCAGUGAGGUAGGUGCCUGGGAAGGUCCUGAGCAGAGGCUGGGUGGGAUGUCCCAGGCUCCUUCUGGCUGCUCCCAUGGGAGCAGAUUGUGUGGCACAAGACAGAAGUGGGGAGGUAGCUACUGCAGUAGUCCAGAUGUUGUGAGCAGGGCUGGGGAGAAAUGGCCCGGUCCUGGACAGAUGGAGAAGGAAGCGUGGCUGGCUCUUCCUGACACGGAAUGUGAGACGAUGCUGGAGCCCGGGCCUGACGCCCACACCCACGUUCUGAAACGCUAGCUUGUGCAUCACUAUUCCAGAGGUGGGGAAACCAGGGCACACAGCCAGUAGGCAUCUAAGCCAGAACUGAGCCCCCACCCCUGGGAGGUCCCUUCCUUGGCCUUUCCUCUCCCCUCCCAGCCGGGGCUGACUGUCCCACGUGCUGCAGGGAGGAGGGUCAUCUGCGGGGGAGGGGGUGUCCUAGGGUCCUGGUGCUUUCCACAUCCUUCCUGACCCCCAUUUUGCAGAUGGGAAAACUGAGGCCCCAGAGAGUUAGUAAGUACCUCUGGCCUCCCUCGGCACCCCCAAAGGCAGCAGGACUGAAAGCGAAGCAGCCAGUCUCGUGGCACUCAGAUCCCAAUCCUGGGUAUGAGCCCAUACAUGACCCCAUGUUGCCACCCCACAGUGUCCCAUGAUACCCACCUAGAGCAGUGUUCCUGAGCAGGGAGAGCGGGAGAGGAUGCGUGGUGUGGCAAGGGGCCUAGCCCGCUGUGUGGAUGGACUUGCCUGGGUAACCCCCAGGCUCUGCCCUCAGUGCCUCCUGGCCGUGCUGGGUUGUGCCCCUUGCACUUCUCUAGACCCCAGCCCCUUUGUCGGCGUCCCCUCCGAGCCACUCAUGUAUCGCCCCUCCCGGAGGCCCGGAUUCUGGCUUUGCCUCUGCCUGGGGUUUGGAUCCGCCGGCCCUCCUCUCAGGGCGGGCUUGGCCAGAGCAGGGAUCAUGUCCCUCUGCAAAGACCCCACAUCUCCCACCCAGAUUCCCAGCUCCUCUCUCCCCGCCUGCCAGGGCUGACAAUUUCUCGGUGACCCCUUCUCCUGAUAACUUCCUGGGGACUUGGGUCCUGAGUUGGGGCCAGUGAAGGGUCCCAGAGUGGAGAAACCCAGGGCAGAGUCCCCACGAACAGAGCAGCUUUCACUUUCCUCAAAACUAGUUACAGUUUCACGAUCUCAACGUGACUCUGAGGUCCGGGAGGGUGGUAGCGAUUGUCCCAGGCAGGACAGGUGAGGGAUUGGACACGUGUCAGGACGGGCCUGAGGUCACGUGGCAGAGCCGGGACUGGAACUCGGGGCCCUGCCCUGCCCUGGGCUUGUUCCUGGGGCCCCCAGUGGCAAGCACUGACCCCCUUGCCAGUGAGGCUUGGAGUUCCUGGCAGCGCAUGGAACCCGGCCCAGAUAAGGGUCCGGGGCCGGAGCAGGCGACCAGGACAGCUCAGCAAAGGCGGGGGGGGCCGAGAGCUGUGUGUGUGUGAGAAACAGCAAGGCCAGUGUGGCUGGACCAGGGCCCCAACAGGGAUCCAGUGGGUGGAUGCAGGGAAGCCAGCAGGGCGGCCGGAAGGGGGUGCCGGCGGAGAUGCGAGCGAUGGCCAGAUUCCAGGCACGUUUUGAAGGUUAUGUCCAUGGACCUGCUGAAGGGUCAGAUCAGAGUCUGAGAGGAAGGCAAGGCCCAGAGGACCUUGAGGAUCUUGGCCUGAGUCACGGGAAGCUGGCCAUUUCCUGGGGCUCUCCAGGCCGGUUUUGGGGGGGGGUGGGGGUGGAUUGCGCCAUGUCAGGUGUGGGUGUUUGGGACGGGGUGACGUUUGCUGCCCCUCUAAGGCUGAGGUGGGUGCCCGGCCAUAGGCCAGGUGCACCAAGAUCGUGCACUCGGGGUCUGGUUCCUCCCCAGGUAGAGUGCUGUGGCUGGGCCCGCAGGUGGGUUCACUACAGAGCUUUUUCCCCUCACACGUAGCCCACGUCCACCCCGGUGACCCCAGAUGCCUUUUUGUACCUGUUUCAGCCAGCAGACUCGAAGUGAGCUCAGCCUCACGUGCUGCCGGGCUGUGUGACUGCCUCUUGGAGCCUCAGUUUCCCCAUCUGUACACAGGGCUGUAAGACUCUUACGCACUUUCUACUGUUGUGGUGAGGAAUAGUGUGUGGAGAGAGCCGAACACAGGACUGCCUGUGGCAGGGCCCCACGGGUGUGAGCCGCCUGUCAUCUCCCCAAAGGCCAGCCGGAGAAAGCCAGGACCGAGUGUGAUUUCCUACUGCUCUCCCUCCGUCAUUCGGGUUCAGCUCCUCCCACUCACUGAUCCUCCAACAUUCGGCCUCAGGGCCUUUGCACAUGCUGUUCUUGGCACCUGGACAGCUCAUCCCCCGCAUCCCACUUUGGAUUGGAUCGUUCACCUCCCCCAGGUCUUUGCUCAAAAGAGGCCUCCCUGUAGACUCCAUUUAAGAUGGCAGCCCUCCUGCCUUCUCUGCUGUAUUCCAGCUUAUCACCUUCGAGUUCUAUUAUGAUGGUACUGGGUACUGUUCAUUUGUCUUCCUCCAUGUGGGAAGGUGUAGUCAGUUUCCUUCACGGCUGCAGGCACAGCACUCCAAACCCUGCCUCACACGUAGUAGGCCCUCCCUGAGUUUUGGGGUCCUCAAAUGGCCAGGGCAGGCAUGCAGCAGUCCUUCAGUGACCGGUGACCAGCCCAGGCCCAAAAUAGCCUCCUGAUCUCUGCUCUCCUGUACUGGGUGACCUGAACUGACUCCCCAGUACAGAUGUGGGAGCCAAGAGCCAAGUCCCAUGCCACACAGCUGGGGCAGGUGGAGUGGAGGCCACCGCUGGACCCCGGCCGCAUCUCGGCCCGCAGAGCCACAGAGUGGACGUGAGGAGGAGACGUUGGAGCUCUGGAGGAUGUCACGACCGGGCUGUCCUGCUCUACGAGUAUGUGGGCAAGCGGAUCGUGGACCUGCAGCACACCGAGGUCCCCGACGCCUACCGCGGGCGUGGCAUCGCCAAGCACCUGGCUAAGGCUGCUCUGGACUUUGUAG